AGCCGCACUUAUUCGAUUGGGAAACUCAUCAAUUCUUUAAAUUCCGAGACAAGCUUUUGUCGCUAAUGGCGGGCCGCGCCUUUCGAGGUAUGCAUCGCACGGCGGAUUACAACGGUGGCAAAGCUCUCAAAUCCUGUCACGCGGAGUUUGUUCAUAUCUAAUAGUGCGGCUUUCUAA
rfam:Bacteroidales bacterium Barb6XT Barb6XT_contig_105, whole genome shotgun sequence.